CAAGUGCCGGGCUUUGCGGCCGAUUCGCAGCCCCUGGUGCUCAAAGGCAAGGGAAGGCAGAGCCCCGUGGGUUCGUCUAUGCACCCUUGCAGACACUUCAGAAGGAAAUUAAUGGGAAGAGGUACACUGUUCCUGUAGGGGGAUAGUCCCUAUUUUCAGGUGAAGAUCAAAGGCCAGGCAUCCUAUGAAUGGCGGUGCAGAGACACACCCUAGGAUCCUUCAGACUGUGAAGCCAAGCGGACAGGGCGUUCCAUCUUAUCUAAGGGGGAUUUCAGCCAUCCUGGUUGAAAACACUCUGGCAAAGGACUUGAGCACCUGCACGUAGAGCGCCUGCCAGGACGAGAUCACGGGGGAAUCUAGAAGCAUGAACAGUGAAUGUCGAGCCGGGAGGACUGCGCUCAUUUGCUCAGAUGCGGUAAUUAAACCACUUUAUCUAGACAAAUGCAAAACCCAGCUGGAGGUUGCUUCUCAGUCCAUUAAACCCUCAUGUUCAGCAGGUCAGCUGAAGUCAGUUCCGCAGUGAAUUGCACGGCCCUGUUACAAACCUGGGUAAAUUGUUAGGGCUUGUCUACACUAGAAAUGCUGCAGUGGUGCAGCCGAGGGCUUCUUCCGUCAGCAAUCCAUUUCCUCAAGAGGCAGCAGCUAGGUCAAGGGACCUAGCGCUGUCUACACGGAAACUUAGCUCUGUUGAACUUUGUUGCCCAGGGCUGUGGAUUUUUCAUGCCCAUGACGAAUGUAGUUGUGUUGACCUAAUUUUCUAGGUAGACUUAAGGGCUGGUCUGCAAUUCAGUCAGGCAUUGACUAACUAUUUAAAUCUGGUUUAUAUGAGUUCAGGGCAAUUCGGGGAUGGAUUGAUUUCAGCUGAACUGCUCUAAGCCAGCUGUAGAUCAAUUUUUAAACACUGAGGGAUGGCUGCACUAUUUAAGUUGAUUUAGAGACCUUCCUUGGUUAUCGGACAUGGUUCUGGCUACAUGGCUCCUCUGCGUACCCUUGGCUCUGAAACGGAUGCGUUUUAACCGGGUCAGCCCACCGAGCCAUUGGCUCGGGGAACUUGGACUUUAGACAAAUCCAGGCAACUGUGUGGAGAAAGUGCCAGGUGGGGCUGGUCAGGUGCCACCGUAAUGUAAGGUUUAUUGAAGCACCUAAUUAAAAGUAGGCAGAUGUCUAAAAGGUCCUGAGCUCACCGCAACUCCAAUGAGUGGCAACGGGCAGGCUGCUUUGAGCUAGAGACUUUACAGCCCCAGGAGGAAGUAGUUUGCUGUAGCCAGCAGAUACGAGAAGUGAAAGCCGUCGCUUUGGGAUCGGGGACAUGCAGAACAGACGGGGGGAAGGCAAAAGGGAUUGAGACCAGUCACUCUGCCUUCCUUUGGAAGCACAUAUGCAGAUAAACUAGGAGGCAGCACCUGGAUAGACUUUCACCCUACAAUGCCCACCCCCAAUUCAGCUGGCUGGAGGAGGAGCUGGGGAUUUGGCCCAAGGGGUUUGCAGCUGCUGAUCUCCCAGUUGGCUAAGGAAGGUGGGGGGGGGGGGGGGACCAAACACCAAUGAAAUCUUAAGACAUGGGAACCAAACACUAUCCACCAGGGUAGAGAGCUGCGUGUGAAGCCCUAUCCCUAGCGAAGUGGGUCCUGGAGCGUUCUUGGACCUCAAGAGCGCAUUUGCUGCAAUAGUCAGGACACAGAGGCCAGGCCUGAGAGAGUGAAGCACAAAUAGUUGAAGCUCGGGAGGGUCUGCUCUGGAGAAUGACUAUGUAAAAGUGGCAUCUGGUCCAUGUGUAUCCAGCCUGAACUACUGGUUGGCUUUAGAUUACAAUGGCCACUCGUGUCUGCCUUGCAGAACCAACACAGCAAGAACACGAACCGGAUUCCAUGCCUUCUUGAGCGGAAUCCAAAUUAUUGAGUCCAGACUAGACUCUGCCCACACACCCACCGCAGGCAAUGAGGCAGCACUGAGGACAAAACCUGGCCUGCAAGGGCCUUCGUUGCUGACAGUUCCAGCUUCCCUCAGAUGCCCGCAGGACAAUCUCCCCGAAAAGGCCAAGCGCUCCGUAAGGAAAUUGAGCAAAGACCGGCAAACACCUCCCUCUUGUGGCUACCAUACAUCAGUGCAGGAUGACCAAAGCGGCCAGCGCCAAGGCCAGAACAAUUAGAUUAAGAGGGAGAUUGUAAUGCAGGAAAAAACCACCCUUCUUACAUCAAGCCAGGGAAGAUUUCUGCUCUCCUUGCCAUGAGGAAGUCUUCCUUAGUUUGCAACAGAAACUAGUGUGGAUGUUUCCACAGGGAAUGUUCCAGGACUGUCCAGUCGGCUUUGGAAAGCUGGCGUGGUACCAAGUAGAGUUCAGGACCACAGCCUCUGACUGCCAAUGGUGGGAGUGAGACUUGCAAAUGAUUUGGGCCUUAGCGGGUAUUUUAAAGAUUAGCUUUAUUUAUUUGGAGGAAACAAACAAAAAAAAAAACAAAAAAAAAGGGGGGGGAUUUUACAUAAUAAAAGACAUCUC